CUGGACCAGUACACCGGAUCAGCCUCUGCCUCUCUGCAUUUUGUACUUUUGUCCCUAAGCAAAUAGAAAAAUAAAUCAUGGUUCUCUCAGCCACCACCUUCUUUCUAUAUUUACUAAAUUGAUUGAAAGAGACAGAGAUAUGAGGGUAGAUCAUCAUCUAAGCAAGAAACCAAAGAAAGAAUGGAAAUAGAUAAACAUAACAAGCUGAAAGAGGAGCAUCAUCUCUCUGGUGCUUACAUCCGUAGCCUAGUGAAGCAAUUAACCUCCUCAAGAACCAAAGACCCCAUGAAUCCAAAAGACCGUGGCUGUGUUGAUGAUUAUAGUUUUUCUGGCCAAAAUAUGACCAAAUUUGGUGAAGUUUUAAGUGAAAACCAACAAACCCGGCAACCCCAGCAACCUCAGCAGCACAAAAAACAGGUUAGGAGGAGACUCCAUACCAGUAAGCCUUACCAAGAAAGGCUUCUUAAUAUGGCUGAGGCUAGGAGAGAGAUUGUUGCUGCCCUAAAGUUCCAUAGGGCAUCUAUGAAACAAGCCAAUGAGCACCAACAGCAACAGCAACAGCAGCAGCAACAUCAACAAGACUACCACCAACAAUCUUCACUUCCAGUGCAGCUUUCCACCCCGCCAUGUUUUGAACAAGAGGGAAAGAUAAAAACCAGAAGGAAUCCCAGAAUAUAUCCAUCAAACAUGGCCAAUUUCUCUAAUUAUAUAGACACCCUUUCCUUCACUUCUUUCUCCCAUGCACCACCUUCUCCUCCAUAUCCUUUUUGCUGGUCUACUUCUCCAAAUCUUCCUUCAACUGUCACUGAUGAAAAUCUCAGUUUCCCCCUUCCAAAUCAAACCCUAGGCCUAAAUCUCAAUUUUCAAGAUUUUAACGACUUAGACACCACUAUUUACCACAGCAGCAACAACCCAUCAUCGGUUUACUCAUCCUCAUCUCCAUCAUCAUUCUCUUCUCCCUCCUCUUCUCUUUCCAUUGCCACUGAGGAAAUUGCUUCAGUUCGAAAAUCGCAAGAAGGGAUGCCUCCUGCAGUGUCUGACCUAACCGAAACUUAUGGUGGACGAGGCUUGCACCAAGUGAUGGAUGAUAAGGAGAUGGAAGAGAUCAGAUCAAUAGGAGAACAACAUCAGAUGGAAUGGAAUGAUACCAUGAAUUUGGUCACAUCAGCAUGGUGGUUCAAAUUCUUGAAGACCAUGGAAACUAGUCCAGAAGUGAAGACAGAGGAUGAUGGUUAUCACCCAUUCGAUCAGAUGAUUGAAUUCCCAGCCUGGUUGAAUGCAAAUGAUCUAUGUUUGCAGCAACAUUUUGAUGAUUACUGCUCCCAAGACUAUUACCAUGAUCCUGCCCUGCCUUGCAUGGACAUUGGAGAAAUUGAAAGCAUGGAUGGGAAAUGGCUAGCUUGACAAGGAUUGAUUGUUUUUUGUUAAUCAAAUCUUUGGCUCUUUGUUCUUUUUUGAUCUCCCAUUAAUCUUCUUUUUUUUUUUUUUUUUUUGAGCUAGUCUCUUAGAUGCUUUUUGAUUUAAUAAGGCCUGCAAGGAUUUUGAUGUUGGAAGACAGGCCACCAUGCACAUCAAGGAAAAAUAAUAACUAAGGAAAAGCUGCAUAUCUUUGCAUGCUAUUUAGCACGCUGAAGAGUGCAUUUGCUUCAUUACUAGCAAUUCCAAUGGUGGGAAAGUGGCAACUGCCUCUGAUACUUCAUAUCACUACUACAAUGCCUUUCGUUUAAACAUUUACUGUAAAGCAUUCAAGGAAUUAGCCAUCAACUCUGCUUCCUGUUGUUGAACAGGGUGAUCAUGACUACUCAUGAAAGUUGCAAUUUGAUUGGAGAAAGUUUUCUUGGAAGCUAAAAGCAAAAAAAUGAAAAGACUUCGCCAACUUUUUACCCCUCAA